UGUGAACUAUCAUUCGACAUUUUGGUACUGCGCGAAAGAGCCUGGCCGCACUAGCUGAACGCAUGGAAGUAUUUUGGGCAGGUGCCUUGUGUGCGGCCGUGCAGAAAUGGAACUUCCAGCUAUCUCCCGAACCCCUGAACCGAUUCGUAUAAUUUUUUGAUAUAUUGUUCCCCUGACUAUGGACUAUCAGAAUAUGUGUGUUUUGUGGGGGUUGGAUAUGGUUCUGGGGUGUUUCUGAAAACGUGGAAUUUUUUUUAUUUUUUCGUUUGGAGAUAAUUGAGUUGAUACAGUAAUUAACUCAAUUAUCUCCUAAGCAGAGGGGAGGAAUUUUAUGUAAUAAUUGGGAGUGUUUGGUUAUGUGAC